rnacentral:rRNA from 1 species
CCAAUAGCGUAUAUUAAAGUUGUUGCAGUUAAAAAGCUCGUAGUUGAAUUUCGGGAUCAGUAGGUUGGUCAUGCCUCUGGUAUGCACUGGCCUCACUGGUUCCUCCUUCCUGAUGAACCGUAAUGCCAUUAAUUUGGUGUUGCGGGGAAACUGGACUGUUACUUUGAAAAAAUUAGAGUGUUUAAAGCAGGCUAACGCUUGAAUACAUUAGCAUGGAAUAAUGAAAUAGGACGUUCGAUCCUAUUUUGUUGGUUUCUAGGAUUGACGUAAUGAUUAAUAGGGAUAGUUGGGGGCAUUAGUAUUCAAUUGUCAGAGGUGAAAUUCUUGGAUUUAUUGAAGACUAACUACUGCGAAAGCAUUUGCCAAGGAUGUUUUCAUUAAUCAAGAACGAAAGUUAGGGGAUCGAAGACGAUCAGAUACCGUCGUAGUCUUAACCAUAAACUAUGCCGACUAGGGAUCGGAUGAUGUUAAUUUUUUAAUGACUCAUUCGGCGCCUUACG